rnacentral:rRNA from 1 species
ACGCUAUCACUCCUACGGGAGGCAGCAGUGGGGAAUAUUGCACAAUGGGGAAACCCUGAUGCAGCCAUGCCGCGUGUGUGAAGAAGGCCUUCGGGUUGUAAAGCACUUUUCAGCGAGGAGGAAAGGGUGUAAGUUAAUACCUUACAUCUGUGACGUUACCUACAGAAGAAGCACCGGCUAACUCCGUGCCAGCAGCCGCGGUAAUACGGAGGGUGCGAGCGUUAAUCGGAAUUACUGGGCGUAAAGCGCAUGCAGGCGGCCUGUUAAGUCAGAUGUGAAAGCCCGGGGCUUAACCUCGGAAUUGCAUUUGAAACUGGCAGGCUAGAGUCUUGUAGAGGGGGGUAGAAUUUCAGGUGUAGCGGUGAAAUGCGUAGAGAUCUGAAGGAAUACCAGUGGCGAAGGCGGCCCCUGGACAAAGACUGACGCUCAGAUGCGAAAGCGUGGGGAGCAAACAGGAUUAGAUACCCUGGUAG